rnacentral:rRNA from 1 species
UACAGAGGUGGCAAGCGUUGUUCGGAAUUACUGGGCGUAAGGGCGCGUAGGCGGCCUUCUAAGUCAGACGUGAAAUCCCCCGGCUUAACCUGGGAACUGCGUCUGAUACUGGGAGGCUUGAGUAUGGGAGAGGGAUGUAGAAUUCCAGGUGUAGCGGUGAAAUGCGUAGAUAUCUGGAGGAAUACCGGUGGCGAAGGCGGCAUCCUGGACCAUAACUGACGCUGAGGCGCGAAAAGCUAGGGGAGCAAACGGG